UCACUUCCACAGGCUGGCUCCAGGCCCAGGUGGGCUGGGCGAGUAUCUCUUUUAAAAGGCUCACCCUCAAGCACGACCAGGAGC
rnacentral:pre_miRNA from 1 species